AGAGUUUGAUCCUGGCUCAGGACGAACGCUGGCGGCGCGCUUAACACAUGCAAGUCGAGCGAUGAAACUUUGACAGAUCCCUUCGGGGUGAAGAUAAAGUGGAUUAGCGGCGGACGGGUGAGUAACACGUGAGUAACCUGCCUCGGACAUUGGGAUAGCCUCGGGAAACCGGGAUUAAUACCAAAUGAAAUUAAAAGUGCACAUGCACCAAUGAUCAAAACUCCGGUGGUCUGAGAUGGACUCGCGUCCCAUUAGCUAGUUGGUAGGGUAACGGCCUACCAAGGCGACGAUGGGUAGCCGGCCUGAGAGGGUGAACGGCCACAUUGGAACUGAGAAACGGUCCAAACUCCUACGGGAGGCAGCAGUGGGGAAUAUUGCACAAUGGAGGGAACUCUGAUGCAGCGACGCCGCGUGAACGAUGAAGGCUUUCGAGUCGUAAAGUUCUUUUAUAUGGGAAGAUAAUGACGGUACCAUAAGAAAAAGCCCCGGCUAACUACGUGCCAGCAGCCGCGGUAAUACGUAGGGGGCUAGCGUUGUCCGGAAUCACUGGGCGUAAAGGGUUCGCAGGCGGAAAUGCAAGUCAGAUGUAAAAGGCAGUAGCUUAACUACUGUAAGCAUUUGAAACUGUAUAUCUUGAGAAGAGUAGAGGUAAGUGGAAUUUUUAGUGUAGCGGUGAAAUGCGUAGAUAUUAAAAAGAAUACCGGUGGCGAAGGCGACUUACUGGGCUCAUUCUGACGCUGAGGAACGAAAGCGUGGGUAGCAAACAGGAUUAGAUACCCUGGUAGUCCACGCUGUAAACGAUGAGUGCUAGGUAUCGGAAUAAUUCGGUGCCGCAGUUAACACAUUAAGCACUCCGCCUGGGGAGUACGUGCGCAAGCAUGAAACUCAAAGGAAUUGACGGGGACCCGCACAAGCAGCGGAGCAUGUGGUUUAA
rnacentral:rRNA from 1 species